CUACGGGCCGCACCAGUUAGGUAUAAUCUACAAUGCGCGAAAGCGUGAUAGUUUGAAUCAGAGUGCGUUUCUAUGAAAUGCUUUUGCCAAGUUUAAAACGCUUGGCGAAUAAGGACUGGGUAAGACGAGUGCCAGCCGCCGCAGUAAUACUCGCGGUCCAAGUCGCAGCCAUUUUUAUUGGGUCUAAAACAUCCGUAGCUUGCUUUUUAAGUUCCUUGUGAAAUCCUGUAUCUCAAAUAUAGGGCGUGCAAGGAGUACUGGGAAGCUAGAGAUUGGGAGACGUAAAGAGUACGUUUAAGGUAGCGGUAAAAUGUGUUAAUCUUAAACGGACUAACAAUAGCGAAGGCACUUUACGAGAACAGUUCUGACAGUAAGGGAUGAAGGCCAGGGGCGCAAAACGGAUUAGAUACCCGCGUAGUC
rnacentral:rRNA from 1 species